GACCCUCAUGAUGAUUAAUUGUUUAUUACCUUUGUUAUGGUGCUAUAAGAUUGCGACAUCGGGGCU
rnacentral:sRNA from 1 species